AUGGUUCAUGUUGUAUACAGCAGGACUAGUGAAUGCAAUUGGUUAGAAAAUCUCUCCCUGCACUUCUCAAAGAGUAUCACUUUUGGAAUUCAGGAGUACAUAAGGCUCGAAGUUUCCACAAACCGUUAUGUUGGAAUCUGGUAUUAUAGAGCAGAAGAAAAACACAUGUUGUAGGUUGCAAAUAGAGACAAUCCUAUCAAUGAUACUUCUGGAGUUCUCUCAAUUGAUGUUCAUGGAAACCUAGUACUCCAUGUCAAAGAUCGAAAUCAGCCCAUCUGGUCGACAAAUAUUACCUCAAAAUCAAGCUAUAACAGUACUGUUGCUCAGCUCUUGGAUUCUGGAAAUCUACAACUGGUUCUUAACAAAACAGGUGAGUUACUAUGGCAAAGCUUUGAUUAUCCAACUGAUACGUUUUUUACACACCUGAAACUUGGGUAGACAGAACAACCGGUCUGAAUCGAACCCUAAGAUCCUGAAAGUCCAAAGAUGAUCCAGGAACUGGUAAUUGCUUGUAUAUGCUCAACACCAAUAGCUCCUCCCCAGAGUCGUAUUUGUACAAAAGUAACAUUUUGUUGUGGCGUACUGGUCAUUGGAAUGGAUUUAGAUGGAGCGGGAUACCCGGAUUCAUACAAGCUAAUUGGCUCUUGAAUAUUAGUCUGGUGAACAACCAGACUGAGACUACUCUAAGUUGGAUUGAUCUCCCUCCAAGAUCAUUCUCAAGAUUCGUGGUAACUGAAUCAGGGUCUAUUGAACACUAUACGAUGACGGAGGGAGAUAAAAAAUGGUAUUAUGGGGGGUCAGUGCCGCUGGACGUGUGUGACUAUUACGGCAAGUGUGGUACACCUGGUAAAUGUCAACUUCAAAAUGAUACUACUAAAUUUGAAUGCACUUGUCUACCUGGGUUCCAACCCAAGUCACCAAGUGAAUGGUCUUUGAGAAAUACAUCUGGUGGAUGUGUAAGAAAGCGUGGACUGGAAUCUAUAUGCAAGAGUGGUGAUGGGUUUGUGAAGGUAGAAAAUGUGAAGCUUCCGGAUAGUUCAUUUGCACAACUUGAUAAGAAGCUGAGUUUGGAGGAGUGUGAGCAACAAUGCUUGCAGAAUUGUAAUUGCACAGCGUAUGCAGGUAUGGAUACACAGGAGCAAGUCGGGUGUUUGAGAUGGCUUGGUAAUUUGAAAGACACGAGUGUGAUACUUGAGGGCCAAAAUUUGUACGUACGAGUGGACGCGCUUGAGUUAGCUCAUUCCAAUGGGUUCUUUGCCAACAAGAAGAGGCAAACAAUUACGAUCGUGGCCCUACUUGUUACUCCAUGA